ensembl:lncRNA
AUUGUGCCAUGCUCUUCACGUAGACGUGUCCUGUGAAAACAAUUUCCGUUAGAGCUUGUGGGGGAUAAUGCGUAUCUGCAAUCAACGCACAUGCAAGGAAGAAAAAUCAGACUGUACCCAGCAGAAAGAUUCUCCCAUAAUUACCCAACUUUUUCUGGUGAAGCGCCUGGGAUGUGUACCGUCACACAGCAUUUUGCAAGCGGUUUGAUUUGCUCACUGCGUUUCCUGUCCUCUUCUGAGGAAUCCAGGGAGCUCCCGGGCUGGAAAUGUGUGGCAACGAAGCGGACAGACCUCAUCUGGGGAGUGCUGGACUGUAUGGCAGAAGGGAUGAAGUGACCUCUCUGAUCCUUUCCAAAUCUGUAUCUUAGGACUGUGAUAAGAGACUGAAAUGUAAACCUUAUGCUAGCGUGUAAUGCACACUUUGAGCACAAAUGGAAACCGUGAGGGAGGGAAAAAAAAGUUUUAGUGUACUUUUCACACUGGAAAUGACUUAACCUCCUAUAUUUUCUUCCUCUUUUUUCUUUUUUUUUUCCCAGCAUACUCAUCUUACUACUCCCAGCAUACUACUCCCAGUAACUCAUUAACAAAGUUUCAGUGAAUUCAAAGCAAAGGCAAAGAGGAACAGUUUGCUCUCUUGCAGCAGUUAUUGAAUGUGCCCCCCAGUUACUUUUUUUCCCACAUUUCCUUUAAACUAACAAAGAGCUGUAAAUAAACACCCUUACAAGCCAAACAACAGACACCAAAUAUUUUGAGAAUGAAACUCAUCAGAAAGGCCCAUUCCCUGGGCAAAGCGCUCAAUCAGUUUAAUUUUUUUUUUCUUACUGAAAAUGUGGGUGGUUUUCAAAUACAGGAAAGAAAACAUGAUGGCUUGUGGUGAUACUUUCCACCAGAAAGAUGCAGCUUUAAGGGCUUUUGGUUUCCAAAUACCUACACCCACAGGAGUGGCCUCGUCUGUUGUAGAAGGCCAUGCCUGAUUAGUUGUACGAGUCAAAUUAAAUGGCAAUAAUAGCACACAGCAGUUGAUGCGUGUUGCAGUGGAAGCUUUGUGUCAGCUGGGUAAUUAAUAUGGCAGCUGCCUCCCAGACUACGGCACUGUGGUUUUUAAAUAUGCAAAAUGCUGCUGUGUAAAAGAAGGGAAAAAAUCUGUUCUCCACAUCCCUGGUGGAUAGGGCAAGAAGUAGGCUUAAAUCACAUCAAGGAUGGUUUGGUCUAGUAUUAAAUGUGGAGGUUGGUGGCCCUGCCUAUGGCAGGAGGUUUGAUCUUUGAGGUCCCUUCCAACCCGUGUCAUUCUGUGAUUCUAUGAUUCUGUGAAGGAAAUGCUGUCUGGAAUUGAAGGACAGCUCUGGAGUAGGCUGUCAGGGUCAGGAGGGACAAGAUGGGGCAGUGCAAGCCCAUAGAAAGAGCAUGUUGAAAUUUUCUUGGAGCAGAGGAUAGAAGAUGUCCUACCAAGGACUUUAUCCAGCUUUGAGAUCUUGUUGCACAGCCAAAUGUCUUGCUGGGAACUAAAGUCUUUUUCUGUCCCUACUUUAGAGAUGGGUGGCCCAAUGUAUUUUGUAAUAUUCAGAACCAAACUGUGAGCCUAAACAUCUGCAGAAUCUCCUGUAAGAAUUACUCUCAUGAAACCAACUGCUGGGUCACCCCAAGUAGGAUCCUGGGCAACAUCUGCCUUUUCCACCACAGAAUUAGCAGAAUCAUCUCAGCCUUUCAAAGUGAGCACUUACAGCUCCUAAAACUUUUAAAGACUUCAUUUGUAUGAUCUCAAAGAAAAUCUCUCUUCUAC